ACCGAAACCAAGCAAUCAUCAUCCUUAUCCAUGGAGAAAUCUCUUCCUCUCCAUCUACUCCAUGCAAACAGCUUGACCAUAAUCAUCAACAGGUCGCACUUAAUCCUGCAUUUUAUAGCCAUACUUUUUCUGAUUCGCUACAGGCUUUCCUUCUUUUUCCAACACCCCACGCUUCCUGGCUUCUAACCUUCUUCUCUGAGUUGCUUCUCUCUCUAUCAUGGCUCCUUUGGCAAUCCACUCGAUGGCGCCUGGUUUACCGGACCGUCUUCCCCGAGAGAUUGCCACCCAACGACUAGCUUCCGGCUAUCCACCGGAAUUAUCCACCGGUGAACACUGUGAUAUCCGCCGUGGCCAUGAAUUAUACACCGGAAAAACUUCAUGUUUAUGUUUCCGACGAUGCCGGUUCCGAUGCGACUUUGCGUUGUGUGAAGGAGGCUUGGAACUUUGCCAAGUAUUGGGUCCCGUUUUGUAGGAAAUAUGGUAUCGAUACCGGGUCCCCGGAAAUAUAUAUUUUCAAGCUCGAUACUUGAACACGGUGAGUUUAAAGGUUCCGAUUUUAAGUAAGACGACGGAAAGAUAAAGCAAAAAUAUGAGGUUAUGAAGCAAAGACUGAAGACAACUGUACAACAAACUCAUAAUGUCUCCCUCAACACCAAUGCUCGUGAUCACCCUUCUAUUAUUGAGGUUAUAAAUGAGCAUCCAAGAGAGAAAAUGCCUUAUGUCUCGUGAGAGGAGACCUUCUCAACAUCAUAAUUUCAAAGCCGGAGCCAUCAAUGUCCUUCUUCGGGUCUCGGAGAUGAUGAGUAAUUCUCCGUAUAUACUCGUGCUCGACUGCGACAUGUACUGCAAUGAGCCGACAUCGGCUAGGCGAGCAAUGUGUUACUAUUGUGACUCUCAAACAUCUCCUUCUUUAGCAUUUGCAAUUCCCUCAAACGUUUCGGAAUAUUUGCGACGACGAUAUCUACGACGGAGAAAUACGGGCUACAUUCAAGGUUCGUUAUUAAGAUAUCAUGGGAAUGUAUGUGCAUGUAUGUUGAGAUUGAUGUUUUAAUUUGAUGAAAAUGAGUUCAGAUAUAUUGGCCUGGUUUCGAUGGAGUCGGAGGACCGACUAUUGCGGGAACCAACUUUUAUAAAAAGAGGGAGGCUUUAUUGGGUAAUUUCAGUAAGCAGUGUUAGUUAUAUCGAUAUUGAUGACCCAAACAUUUUCGAGCUUAAUCUUUGGGCAACUACUA